AAAGACUUACACUCCUAACACAUAUACCCAUUAAUAAACUACCUACACAUAAGAUGAAGAGGCUCCAUGAAUGUAGGGAGGCAAAGAAAGGUUGAGAGAGCAAGCUGACACAGACAGAAGAGAGAAGCCUCCGGAAGAAACCAGCCCAAGGAAACCUCCCCAAAACUUCAGCAUGUGUUGAUGUUUACCUAAAGAAAUGCUGAUUCUCAGAGCUUGGUAUAAUUUUGUCCUUCUCUUUCCUAACCCUGAGGAUACGCUAGGAAAGGUGCCUCACCCCUGCGCUGGGAUGGUCGAGCCACAGAAGAAUGUUGAUGUCUCACAUAUAAUUGCAGAGGACAGUGAAGAUGUGGAUUCCUCUGCAAGUUCUAUAUAAACAGGUGCUAUAUGCUCCAAAAAUGCUCCCAACUGUCUGAAAAGCAGAGCCCAGACAGCCGUGUGCUCCCUCCUCCAGCUCCCAGAGCACACUGAGCCACAGGCUGCCUACUCCCUUGGUGACACAGGGCCUACCCCCUUUAUGACACAGGGCCACUGCUGACAUGACAGAGGCAAGGUGGGCUGGGGCUGUCUGGCUAGGGCCCUUGGGGUUUGCAUCCCCCAGAUUGGAUUAAGGGAAGAUUGGUUUUGGCAAUUGAUGGGAAUUUUAAUCCAAGGGAGCCCUGGGGUCUCCCCACAAAUCCUGUCUGUAUAAUGUGACAUGAGAAAAGGCGAUUCAACCACAAGGUGCAAAAUCAUUCUGUGUCAGUCCACUCCAGUA